AUCAGGUCCAAUAGCUUAUAUAUAUAUAUUAGCACUGUCAGAAAGUUUUGCACACUCAUUCCUUACCAUCUUCUCUCCUUCCACAUCUUGCAUAGAGGAGGUGAAACACAUCUCUCCUAUCGGAGUCUUUCUAGGAUUAGAAGCUCCUUCCAAUGACGCCUAUCGUGUCAGUGAUGUUUCUCCUUUUUCUGGUUCUCCUCGCAGCUAACAGGACUGCAGGGAUCAGAUUGUUGGAAGAAGAAUCAGUGGCUUCCCUACGCAACCAAGUGCAUGAGGAAAAGAGCUUGAUGAAAGAAGGAGCGCUUCUACGUGGAUGCCAUGGGGAUUGUUCAGGAAAGACUAGGAAACUCAUGACCGAUGCGAUGGCCACUUCCAAGAACGAUACCGGAAGCCAAGACGACCUCCACAAGGCCCCGCCUGUUUCAAGGCAACCUCAGACCUACCCGGACGUCGUAGACAUAGCAGGAAUGGACUACUCUCCUGCCAACAGGAAGCCUCCGAUCCACAACUGAAGUGCUACUACCAACCAGCUUAGGAGGAGAGAGCAGUAGAGAUAUUGGACAGCAUUGCAGGAAAUGCUGCAGGUUUCUUGGAUUAGGUCCGUGACUGGAUGUCAUACAUGCAUGCAUGGUGGGAGAGACAGGGAUGGGGAAGAUUUUUGUCCCAUGUGUGUGUCCUUCAAAGACUGGCAACCACUUAAUGAGACAUUAUGUCCUUUAGAGGAGAGGAUGUAUUAUAUCAGGCACUUGAUGUAAGGUUGGUUCACGAGGCUAGCUGGGACAGACGUUCUUCUCUCUCUUGAUUGCAUUGGGUUGGAUGGACUCUCUGGAGUGUGGGCUCAUGUGUUCUCCACCUGCUUAACUUCUCCUCUGUUCGGAGGGUGUGGGUUAUGACAUGGUAGUGUUUGAGGAUGGAAUGCCAGAGCAAGAAACUGGAGCAAAAGGAUACGAGUGCAAGCAGUAGGAAUGCGUCAUGAUCGGCGGUGUCGUGAAAGACGCAAGAUAUGGAAGAAGGAUGGGCAGCGUUGAUCCCUUCUAUAUUAAAUAGUCGGAUAGGAUGAUGAUAAAUAAAGUGAGAAGCAAUUAUUACUUUCAUGUACUGAUUCACUUACCCAUACAUAACCUUUCAUAUGA